rnacentral:rRNA from 1 species
AUGCUUGAGGAGCUGGCAAUGAACAAGGUCAAGGAUGUGGCCGAACUUUAUGUUCGGGCUGAUCAGUGCGCUCGGGCUGAAGAGGGGAGGAAGUAUCCCGAUGAAGACAUCAGCGCGGAAACCGACUCCACGGAUGAUACCGCCACCCCGGAGAAGAAGGGCCGGCGCCGUAACAAGAAGCGCAAGGUCAAGACCGUGCUUGCCGUUGAGGGGUCCAACAAUACCGGCGCCACCAAGAAACCCAAGGCGAGUGACCCCGGCAAGGAGGUUGCCGGGUGUGCCGCUUGCCGGGCCUUGGCGACUACCGAUAAGCCAGGGGGCUCCGACAAGCAGUAUUGCAAGAUCCACCGCACCAAGGGCCAUGACUUCCAGAACUGCGGGCAAGUGGAGCUGCUCGAUGAGAAGCAGAAAGCCGAGUAUGAGCGACGGGACAAGGAGAAGGGCCAAGAGGGUGCCGAGGGAUCCGACAAGAAGAAUGGCGGCUGUUGGUGUCAAAACCGGCGGAUCUCGGGUAGGGGGUCCCGAACUAUGCGUCUAAGGCUAACGGUAACAGGAGGCUAA